GAGUUUGAUCCUGGCUCAGAACGAACGUUGGCGGCGUGCUUAACACAUGCAAGUCGAACGAGAACGGUUUCUUCGGAGACCUAGUAAAGUGGCGCACGGGUGAGUAACACGUAGAUAACCUGUCCAGGUGUUCGGGAUAGCCCUUCGGAAAGGGGGGAUUAAUACCGGAUACGUUAGUCUGUUAUAAGGCAGAUUAAGAAAGGUGGCCUCUAUUUAUAAGCUAUCGCAUUUGGAGGGGUCUGCGUACCAUUAGUUUGUUGGUGGGGUAAAGGCCUACCAAGACUUCGAUGGUUAGCGGGUCUGAGAGGAUGAUCCGUCACACUGGCACUGAAACACGGGCCAGACUCCUACGGGAGGCAGCAGUGAGGAAUAUUGCGCAAUGGGGGAAACCCUGACGCAGCGACGCCGCGUGGGUGAGGAAGGCUUUCGGGUCGUAAAGCCCUGUCAGAAGGGAAGAAAUGUGUAUAGGUUAAUAUCUUAUACAUUUGACGGUACCUUCAAAGGAAGCACCGGCUAACUCCGUGCCAGCAGCCGCCGUAAC
rnacentral:rRNA from 1 species